UUUUUUUUUUUUUUUUUCUUUCAUCCCCCUUGCUGUCGCCCCUUGAUCACCAAACUUUGUUCGGAGCUUUGGGGCACUCAGGCCUGAGAGCUCCUGAGGCCAGUGUGUGUGUGUGUGUAUAUGUGUGUUUGUGUGUGUGAAGAAAAUUUGCAGUCGUGACACUGGGAUAAAGAUCUGGCCUCCUCUUCACUACACACACUCGCUGCACGGGGUCCACGUCAGAUUGAUUUAUCCAGAUGCGCUUUAUUCUUUUAGCCGAAAAAAAAAAAAAAGAGAAGAGGAUCACGGGAUCUUAAACAAUCCCAUUUGUUUCGUCUCGGAAUACGCGAGCGUCCCGCGACCCGAGACCCCUGACGGACGCGAAAGGAAGCGGGCUGUAAAAGUCGAAAGGGACGCGAUCGGAUCUGAUCUCGGCGGAAUGGAAGUCGAAGCGCGAGGGUGUGUAAAGAUCCCCCACUUCGUAUUCCAGGUACGAGCGAUGGAGGGAAAGGGAGGAGAGAGAAGCGAAGAGAGACGGGAAUGAGGGAUACAAGAGAGAUUUACGCAAAGCAGAAAGGACGGAGGAGAUGCCUUUGCUCAAGCGUGCGCGCGUGUGUGUGUGUGUGUGUGUGUGUGUGUGUGUGUGUGUGUACCACCCUUUGAUUAGAUUAAGGUCUGAAUGGCAGCGUAAUGCGUUUGCUCUGUGGUCCAUGGCAGCGCCGCUGACCCCCCUGCGUCUGCCUCUCCGGGGGUCUUUCACCUCAACAUUUACAACCAGCGGAGUGUGUCUGAAAGUGUGUGUGUGUGUGUGUGUGUGUGUGUGUGUGUGUGU
ensembl:lncRNA